AACCAUAAUAGUUUUUUUCAAACAAUGAAACCAAACCAAAACCGUUUAAAACCAAACCGAACCGAACCAAAUGGUUUGAUUUUAUUUCGGUUUUAGCCUCAAAACCACACCGAACCAAACCGCAAAAACUUGCGGUUUUGGUUUUGGUUUCACUUAAAACUGCACCAAACCGAACCGCACCCACCCCUAGAAUCGAGGGUGAAUUUUUUGGAAAGGGUCAUACAUACUAAAUUUUGUGUUUUGUAUAAAGUACAUAUUUUGCUUUACUAUUUUAAAUUUAUAUUUUGUUGGUAGACACAAAAAAGAAGAGAGUUGUGCCCCG
rnacentral:lncRNA from 1 species